GGAGGGCUCGCAUAGUGGCCGAGUGCGGCGGUCUUGAAAACCGCUAUGGGUUCAUAGCCCAUCGUGGGUUCGAAUCCCACGCCCUCCG
rnacentral:tRNA from 8 species